rnacentral:lncRNA from 1 species
UACAGAAGAGUAUGAGUCUCUGGAUGUUCCUUUUGGUACCCAAGCAAUACACACUGUGAUUGACAGCUUCUUAGUUGGCUUCAUUGAGGAAGUCUAUUUUCUCCUUAAAGAAUACCAAGUAAAUUUUCAAAAUUACCUUCAGUAUUCGUGAGAAUAUCAUUUAUUGAAAAUACACAUUAGGUAUGAUGGCACACACCUCUAAUGCCAGUACUUGAAAAGAGGAAGCAAAACAAAAAAGAGAAAUACUGCAUUUGCUUAAAAUCUCCAAAGUUUACUAGUGUUGAUAUAGUGUGGCCUUAAUUUACCUGGGCCAUAAUUGUUUUCGAAUUGUUAGAAGUCCGUAGUCAUGAGAUGAUUCAACAGGGGUUUCUUCUGAGUUAUAAAAUAGGGCCUUGAGAUGGUGAUCUUAUUUGCCAAGUAGACUGUUUGUGUUUGAUUUUCAUUUUGUUUUGUUUUGUUUUGUUUUGUUUUGUUUUUGAAUUGACUGAAAGGCAAGCUAACGAGAAAUCCUGUGAAGGAUUUUCUUUCUUUUUUUUUAAUCUUUUUCUUUUUUCUUUUUUUAUUAGAUAUUUUCUUUAUUUACAUUUCAAAUGUUAUCCCUUUUCCUAAUUUCCCCUCUUAAGAUACUUUACAUGGGGAGACAUACUCUAAGUGUGAGCAGCAUCUGCCAGUGGCAACCUACAUACGAGGGAAUUGGAAGAAGGAAGCUUUGCUUUUUGCCUUUACUCUCAGUGCAAGUUUAUGUACUGUGUUGCAGGCUCAUUCCAUCACUGGAAUCAUAAACAGGUUUCAUUAACCUUCAGAUCUAGACUGGCUCUCCAGGAAUCCUCCAAGACUUCAUUGUAAGAUGAGGACCUCUAAUCCAUCCUAAUGGAAUGAACAGCUACUACAUUCAUGGUUUCAUUUUGGACUACCCAGAAAUAAUGUACAAGCUAUAUAAACCCCCUAUAAUAUAUGUGUGUUCUAUCAAUUCUAUUCCCCUAUAGAAAUGUGACUAGUGCAAUCAUUUAAGUGAUCUCUUUAAGGUUUUCUCUACACUGAGUCAACAACUCAAGGAAGCCAGUAACUUAAGUAUCAAUGAGCAAGCUCAGGACAGAGUCCUCAGUGAUUUGAACAUAUAACAAAGAUCUGUAACAGCCCAGUCAUACAGUGAUCUGAAAUUUUUUAUUAGGUAUUUUCUUCAUUUACAUUUCCAAUGCUAUCCCAAAAGUCUACCAUGCCCUGCCCCCCCCCCCCCACUUCUUGGCCCUGGCAUUCCCCUGUACUGAGGCAUAUAAAGUUUGCAAGACCAAUGGGCCUCUCUUUCCACUGAUGGCCGACUAGGCCAUCUGAAAUUUAAGUUCUAAGUAAAUGUAAGAGCUCAAGUCAGAUACAUAUAAAAACAGCAAAUAAUGUAGUAUACAUUUUUGCAGUUUGAGUGAUAAGUCCCGUCAAAUUUAGAAAGCCAAGGCAUCAGAAAAUAGACAUUUAUCCUGAUUAUAUAUAUAUGAUUUAUAUUCAUUAUACAUUAGAUUUAUAUGAGUGAAAUAUAUAUAUAUAUAUAUAUAUAGAGAGAGAGAGAGAGAGAGAGAGAGACAUGUAUAUAUACAUAUGAUAGAUUACUACUUAAAGCCACAUAUUUUGAGAAUAAACAUAAUGGACUUAUAUCAUGAAUCUGCAUAAUUACAUAUGAUUUCGAACAAUUUUUAAUUUUUUUGAAUGCUCAUACCUACAGUCAGCAGAAGUAUUCAAAUGAGAUAGUGGAUUUAUGCACUUAAUAUUGUACUUGGGAAGCAAUAUACCCUAGAUAAAUAUACACUAUUAGUACCUGUCCUAAAAACACAUAAGACCAUAUUAGGUUAUAUAUAUUUUGUAGGUUUUAUAAUAAUCUUUUUAUUAUCAUUAAUAUGAGCCCCAAUUAAAAUGGAUUUUGAAGUCAAUAUGCAAAUAAAAUUGACAAUGAUAAUAUAAAAUAUCUUCAGUGUCUUCGAAAUCAAUAAAAAUUCAUGCACAGUGUAAGAUGAAAGAGCUCAUUUUACUUUCUCUUUCUGCAAGUGCAUUUAUAGAGUGGGUAGCAGAUAUAACAUUAUCUUUAUACUCAGGCAUGGUUAGUGAUGCUGGCAAAUAUCAUUGCUGUGUAUGUAUAUAUACAUAUAUUUACUGUUGGUAAUGAUAAACAAUUCCUCACAGCCAUUUUGAUGCUGAGCAAAUGAUCAAGUAAAGAGAUAUUACCCUUUCCAAAAAGGUGGCAGUGUUAUCAUGAAAAAAUAAUGUGAUGUAUGUAAAAUAAAUAUUUUGUAAUUUUUUCCUAUAUUUUGUGAUUUAGGGUAUAUAUAUAUAUAUUUGCUUUGUGUUCCUAGUACAAUAUAGUAUCUCUCAAAUAUUAAAAAAAAAAAAAGACUAGAACAUUAGACCUAUCUGAUACAUUUAAGAACAACUAUUUAUUUCCUUAGUGGUACUUAGAUCAGUUUGUUGUAUCAUAUUGAUUUUUCCUCUUAUUUUAAAAUUUAUCACUUCUGGGUAAAAUACAGCAACCCUCUUAAUGGCCGGUAUUUGUGAACUAGGUAAAGCACUGAGUGGAAGACAUGCCAAUGAUAGCCACAACUUUGGUUUAAAAAUUGUUUGUUAACCAUGACACUUAAGUUAUAAAUAUACAUUGGAACAU